ACGUCACUUCCUGGUUUGUGAAAUAGGGACGUUCAUGUUGGAAACACAAGUCGAUAGCCAGGUAUCUUAUCUAAUUUUUGUCAAGCCUUGUUCUGAACACCUCCUGCGUAUCAGAGAAGACAUCGCUAUGUACUUGAGAAAUCUAUAUCCCAGACUCAGCCUGCUACGACCCCCAAGACACGAGCC